CUCACUAAAUGUAAGAAUUAGUUAGUGGAGAAGAAACUUAACAAGGAUUCCCUUAGUAAUAGCAAAUGAACAUGGAAGAACCCAAGGCUGAAUCCCUGCCCCAGAGUUUGGUGCUGGGAACAUGGCAUAUAGAAGAUGCAUUCUUUUGUGCUGCUCAUAGGGGAGCCAAGUCCUUCUGUUUGAGGCUUAACUUGUGGAUGGUGUAGGGCAGUAGAAGCCCCUUGAGCACUGCACCUGGGUAUUACUGGAGUGAUACUGCUUGAGAAUGUAGUCUAAAGUGGGUGAUAAAUGUUAUCUAAGGCCAAAUACUGGUGAAAAACUGAAAUCCAAUAAGUACUUUAAUGGAAAGUUAAAGAGAAUUUUGAACAUGUGAAAUUAUUAAGGGUUGUGACCUCAGAUCAGACAUGGCAAUCCCACACCCUCGGUCCUGGGUGGUGGCUCUACUCAUUUAGUCUUGGAAACAA
rnacentral:ncRNA from 1 species